rfam:Beta vulgaris subsp. vulgaris Bvchr9.sca025.con0297.1, whole genome shotgun sequence.
AAGCAGUGAGGAUAAUUGCGCAUGCUGUGGCAGUUGGGUCCGCCACAUUACAUCUGACUUCAGAUGCAACAAGAGCGCAUCUGAGCUU